rnacentral:miRNA from 1 species
CUCCCAGACCCUCCCACCUCCUGGACAGCAUCCAUGUUGAAGCUGCCUUCAACAUGGAUGCUGUCCAGGAGGUGGGAGGGUCUGGGAG